AUUCACACACCUGAUGGCACACUCAAGUUCUCACUGAGUCAACCUUAACCCAGGUCAGCUUGACUGGCUCUGAUAUGGCCCGACUGGGUUUUAGGGUCAAGGAUUGUGUUCCAAGUGCAAGGCUCUGUGCCUAGAACUACAGCAGGAACAGCAGGAGAGGGGGCAGAACAAUGAGAGCUGCCAUUUCUAUGGGAGAAGGAAGUGUCUGCUUCCUUUGAAAGUCGUCUUUAAGCCUCACAGAAGUCUUCAACAUGGACAUUAUAAUGUUCACGUUCCAAGUGCAAAAAGUGAAAAUUAGAAAAGUGAAUUGCUUGGUGUUUCCCGAUGAUCUUACCCGGAACCAGUGCUAUGAAAGAAAGCCAGUAGAAGUCUACGGCUUAGACGCUCUGUCUUGACCUCAGAGCAAUUACUUUCGCUGGACAAAAUGCACACUAAGGGAUGCCAGUGCCUACUGUUCUGGAAAAGGGCGAUGUUUGCCUCAGGAUUCAUACCCAGAUUUCCACAACGUACUCUGAGACUCAGCACUGGGUCACUGGGCUGAAGCUCUGCACUGAAGCCAACUGGCGUUUAAAUCACCAGACUGAAAGUUUGUGCACCACGAGCCAUAGCCAUACUCUCACAUGUGACUCAACUGUGGUUGGAGAUCUGUCUGAGCAGGGUACUGGGAAGAAUGCUGG
rnacentral:lncRNA from 1 species